rnacentral:rRNA from 1 species
AGUGAACGCUGGCGGUAGGCCUAACACAUGCAAGUCGAACGGCAGCACAGUAAGAGCUUGCUCUUACGGGUGGCGAGUGGCGGACGGGUGAGGAAUACAUCGGACUCUACUUUUUCGUGGGGGAUAACGUAGGGAAGCUUACUCUAAUACCGCAUACGCCCUACGGUUGAAAGCAUGGGAUCUUCGGACCUUGCGCGAUUGAAUUAGCCGAUGUCGGAUUAGCUAGUUGGCGGGGUAAAGACCCACCCAGGCGACGAUCCGUAGCUGGUCUGAGAGGAUGAUAAGCCACACGGGAACUGAGACAGGGUCAAGAGGCCUACGGGAGGCAGCAGAGGGGAAUAUUGGACAAUAGGCGCAAGCAUGAUCCAGCCAUACCGAGUGGGUGAAGAAGGCCUUCGGGUUGGAAAGCCCUUUUGUUGGGAAAGAAAAGCAGCAGGUUAAGACCCAGCGGGUCUGACGGUAACCAAAGAAUAAGCACCGGCUAACUUCGUG